rnacentral:rRNA from 1 species
AUGAACGCUAGCUACAGGCUUAACACAUGCAAGUCGAGGGGCAGCAUGGUCUUAGCUUGCUAAGGCCGAUGGCGACCGGCGCACGGGUGAGUAACACGUAUCCAACCUGCCGUCUACUCUUGGACAGCCUUCUGAAAGGAAGAUUAAUACAAGAUGGCAUCAUGAGUCCGCAUGUUCACAUGAUUAAAGGUAUUCCGGUAGACGAUGGGGAUGCGUUCCAUUAGAUAGUAGGCGGGGUAACGGCCCACCUAGUCUUCGAUGGAUAGGGGUUCUGAGAGGAAGGUCCCCCACAUUGGAACUGAGACACGGUCCAAACUCCUACGGGAGGCAGCAGUGAGGAAUAUUGGUCAAUGGGCGAGAGCCUGAACCAGCCAAGUAGCGUGAAGGAUGACUGCCCUAUGGGUUGUAAACUUCUUUUAUAAAGGAAUAAAGUCGGGUAUGGAUACCCGUUUGCAUGUACUUUAUGAAUAAGGAUCGGCUAACUCCGUGCCAGCAGCCGCGGUAAUACGGAGGAUCCGAGCGUUAUCCGGAUUUAUUGGGUUUAAAGGGAGCGUAGAUGGAUGUUUAAGUCAGUUGUGAAAGUUUGCGGCUCAACCGUAAAAUUGCAGUUGAUACUGGAUAUCUUGAGUGCAGUUGAGGCAGGCGGAAUUCGUGGUGUAGCGGUGAAAUGCUUAGAUAUCACGAAGAACUCCGAUUGCGAAGGCAGCCUGCUAAGCUGCAACUGACAUUGAGGCUCGAAAGUGUGGGUAUCAAACAGGAUUAGAUACCCUGGUAGUCCACACGGUAAACGAUGAAUACUCGCUGUUUGCGAUAUACUGCAAGCGGCCAAGCGAAAGCGUUAAGUAUUCCACCUGGGGAGUACGCCGGCAACGGUGAAACUCAAAGGAAUUGACGGGGGCCCGCACAAGCGGAGGAACAUGUGGUUUAAUUCGAUGAUACGCGAGGAACCUUACCCGGGCUUAAAUUGCAGAUGAAUUACGGUGAAAGCCGUAAGCCGCAAGGCAUCUGUGAAGGUGCUGCAUGGUAGUAGUCAGCUCGUGCCGUGAGGUGUCGGUUUAAGUGCCAUAACGAGCGCAACCCUUGUUGUCAGUUACUAACAGGUUCCGCUGAGGACUCUGACAAGACUGCCAUCGUAAGAUGUGAGGAAGGUGGGGAUGACGUCAAAUCAGCACGGCCCUUACGUCCGGGGCUACACACGUGUUACAAUGGGGGGUACAGAGGGCCGCUACCACGCGAGUGGAUGCCAAUCCCCAAAACCUCUCUCAGUUCGGACUGGAGUGUGCAACCCGACUCCACGAAGCUGGAUUCGCUAGUAAUCGCGCAUCAGCCACGGCGCGGUGAAUACGUUCCCGGGCCUUGUACACACCGCCCGUCAAGCCAUGGGAGCCGGGGGUACCUGAAGUGCGUAACCGCGAGGAGCGCCCUAGGGUAAAACCGG